UCUGGCUCAGGAUGAACGCUAGCUACAGGCUUAACACAUGCAAGUCGAGGGGAAACGAUAGAGAAAGCUUGCUUUUUCUAGGCGUCGACCGGCGCACGGGUGAGUAACGCGUAUCCAACCUGCCCAUCACUUGGGGAUAACCUUGCGAAAGUAAGACUAAUACCCAAUGAGGUCUCUAGAAGACAUCUGAAAGAGAUUAAAGAUUUAUCGGUGAUGGAUGGGGAUGCGUCUGAUUAGCUUGUUGGCGGGGUAACGGCCCACCAAGGCGACGAUCAGUAGGGGUUCUGAGAGGAAGGUCCCCCACAUUGGAACUGAGACACGGUCCAAACUCCUACGGGAGGCAGCAGUGAGGAAUAUUGGUCAAUGGACGAGAGUCUGAACCAGCCAAGUAGCGUGCAGGAAGACGGCCCUAUGGGUUGUAAACUGCUUUUAUAAGGGAAUAAAGUGAGUCUCGUGAGACUUUUUGCAUGUACCUUAUGAAUAAGGACCGGCUAAUUCCGUGCCAGCAGCCGCGGUAAUACGGAAGGUCCGGGCGUUAUCCGGAUUUAUUGGGUUUAAAGGGAGCGUAGGCCGGAGAUUAAGCGUGUUGUGAAAUGUAGACGCUCAACGUCUGCACUGCAGCGCGAACUGGUUUCCUUGAGUACGCACAAAGUGGGCGGAAUUCGUGGUGUAGCGGUGAAAUGCUUAGAUAUCACGAAGAACUCCGAUUGCGAAGGCAGCUCACUGGAGCGCAACUGACGCUGAAGCUCGAAAGUGCGGGUAUCGAACAGGAUUAGAUACCCUGGUAGUCCGCACGGUAAACGAUGGAUGCCCGCUGUUGGUCUGAAUAGGUCAGCGGCCAAGCGAAAGCAUUAAGCAUCCCACCUGGGGAGUACGCCGGCAACGGUGCAACUCAAAGGAAUUGACGG
rnacentral:rRNA from 2 species